CUUUAACGAUGAAGCUUCUAGCUUGCUAGAGUGCUGAUUAGUGGCGCACGGGUGAGUAACGCAUAGGUCAUGUGCCUCUUAGUUUGGGAUAGCCAUUGGAAACGAUGAUUAAUACCAGAUACUCCCUACGGGGGAAAGAUUUAUCGCUAAGAGAUCAGCCUAUGUCCUAUCAGCUUGUUGGUAAGGUAAUGGCUUACCAAGGCUAUGACGGGUAUCCGGCCUGAGAGGGUGAACGGACACACUGGAACUGAGACACGGUCCAGACUCCUACGGGAGGCAGCAGUAGGGAAUAUUGCUCAAUGGGGGAAACCCUGAAGCAGCAACGCCGCGUGGAGGAUGAAGGUUUUAGGAUUGUAAACUCCUUUUGUUAGAGAAGAUAAUGACGGUAUCUAACGAAUAAGCACCGGCUAACUCCGUGCCAGCAGCCGCGGUAAUACGGAGGGUGCAAGCGUUACUCGGAAUCACUGGGCGUAAAGAGCGCGUAGGCGGGAUAGUCAGUCAGGUGUGAAAUCCUAUGGCUUAACCAUAGAACUGCAUUUGAAACUACUAUUCUAGAGUGUGGGAGAGGUAGGUGGAAUUCUUGGUGUAGGGGUAAAAUCCGUAGAGAUCAAGAGGAAUACUCAUUGCGAAGGCGACCUGCUGGAACAUUACUGACGCUGAUUGCGCGAAAGCGUGGGGAGCAAACAGGAUUAGAUACCCUGGUAGUCCACGCCCUAAACGAUGGAUGCUAGUUGUUGGAGGGCUUAGUCUCUCCAGUAAUGCAGCUAACGCAUUAAGCAUCCCGCCUGGGGAGUACGGUCGCAAGAUUAAAACUCAAAGGAAUAGACGGGGACCCGCACAAGCGGUGGAGCAUGUGGUUUAAUUCGAAGAUACACGAAGAACCUUACCUAGGCUUUACAUUGAGAGAAUCCGCUAGAAAUAGUGGAGUGUCUAGCUUGCUAGACCUUGAAAACAGGUGCUGCACGGCUUUCUUCAGCUCGUGUCGUGAGAUGUUGGGUUAAGUCCCGCAACGAGCGCAACCCCCUUUCUUAGUUGCUAACAGGUCAUGCUGAGAACUCUAAGGAUACUGCCUCCGUAAGGAGGAGGAAGGUGGGGACGACGUCAAGUCAUCAUGGCCCUUACGCCUAGGGCUACACACGUGCUACAAUGGGGUGCACAAAGAGAAGCAAUACUGCGAAGUGGAGCCAAUCUUCAAAACGCCUCUCAGUUCGGAUUGUAGGCUGCAACUCGCCUGCAUGAAGCUGGAU
rnacentral:rRNA from 1 species